ACCACGCCUAGCGAGUCGCGACGCGAAAACCGGAUUCCCCCUUUCCGGCCCGGCGUGGUUCCCUUUCAAGGG
rnacentral:sRNA from 1 species